AGUAAAGAUGUAGAAGAAAAAGUAGAAUUCUUGCAUCUAGGUCUCCUUCCUCUUCCAAUCAAUGUGUUAAACUUUCAAUUGCUUGAUAUUUUCCUCCUAUGAAUUUCUCUUUUGAUUCUCCAAUUAUGCUCUUUUGCUUCUCGGGCUUUUUUCAUGUCGAGCCAUGGGCGACCCGAGCCGACGAGCCCAACUACCGUCCCUACCUACAUAAGCUAAUGCUCAAUAAGAAAAAAUCUUGCAUGUCAUGAGCAUGAAUAACAAUAAUAUAUGACACCAUGCCAUUUACUUUAAACAUUAUGCUAAAGAUGCAUCAUAUUCAAGUAUUCGUCAAAUUCAACUCAAAAUAACUUCAUUUGAAAUCUUUUAUUAAGCCUUUGACCCACCUACUAUGCACCGGAUAGAGUUCUGCACAAUAUCAAUAUUAAUAUCAAUAAUCAAAUAACUAAUAUGAAAUCGACACUAGGGAGUGGACCACCCUCUUAAGACCACUAGAGGUCCAUCCCCUAACCGUCCCUAUGAUCACCCAAAAGGUAUCCCACUCGACAACACCAAUAAUCAUAACACCACAAGGAUACAGUCGAGUGGUCCCCUAUUUACCUUUGCAAUCACCUGCGAUGGAAGAAUAUAUUAUACCAGCAUGCCUUAUACCAGCAUGCCUCACAUGUCUCGUGCCCUAGUAGUGGUCAACAAAACAUUUAUGAGAUAAAAAGUCAAUUGAAAAUCAUAUUGUGCAUGCUAGAUUUAAUAAUCUUAAACACACACAAUCCCAAAAUACGUCCAUUCACGCCAAAAUAAUUUAUACGAUAUCAUCAUUUGAAGUUACCGAUGUAGUCCUAUGAAUCUCGCUAUUUCUCGAGUCCAAUUAUGAAAGUCAAUAUCAUUCAAUUGUUCUCAAAUAUUUAUGAUUGUAAGCACUCUUUAGAAUCUAUUUCCUAGGCUCAAGAGAUAAUUAAUGGACAUGUAAAGGUUGAAACUGUAUUAAACAUGCAAAUUGACAGAAUCAGUUUCCAGGUUUUCAUAACCGUCCAAUUAUUUUUUCAAUCCUUUUUCACACCCUUAACUAUAUCCAAUGACUCUCGAAUUUUUACGACACUUCUAUAACAUGUAUGCGAAGGUAAUCAUGUCAUAAACUUGUGACAAACGAAGGUUUUGCUACUUCAAAAAUAGUCCCUUUUUCACAACACCAAAUCAGACAGUUUCCCCGUGAUGGUUUUCUGCUUUUAUUGUAUUAGUAUGCCACCAAUAAGAUUUUCAGCCAUUAAAAAUCAUUUCUAUACUUCUUCUUACAUAUAAAAGCAUUCAUAUUGAUAGAUAUAGGUUAUACUUUAACCAUCAUCCAAAAUCAAGGUUGAAACCAUUCAAAUUUGGCAAUCUACAUCUCUGUCUAGGUUUGUAAUUAAUUGCCCCUAUUUUGCCAUCAUAAAAUCAUCAACAACCUCCCAGCCAAUCUCAAACGAGUUCAGAGUUUCAACAGGUUUAUACAACACCCAAAAGAACUAAAGAAAAACUUCAAAACCGUGAGUUAAACUCACCUGCUGAAACUGCAAUUCUAGCCCCUAGUUUUCUAUUUCUCUUUGCUCCCUUUGCCCUCUCUUUUACUUGGGGAUAACUUUGGAGGGUUAAAUGUCUUGGGUAAGAGCUAUAUAAGGAGUCUUAAGGAUUGAGGUCAUGAGUGAUCCUUAAGGAUGAAGAAAAAUGUGAUUAAAGAACAAGUCUCCUCAAG
rnacentral:lncRNA from 1 species